GCCUUCGUGGUGUAGUGGUCAAGACGCUCGGCACGUAUUCGAGAGGUCCGCGGUUCGAGUCCCGUCGAGGGCA
rfam:Stegodyphus mimosarum contig4355, whole genome shotgun sequence.